CGCGGGCUGGUGUAGAGGUCGCACGCAAGGCUCUGAAUCUUGAGAUGGCAGUUCGAUUCUGUCGCCCGCAA
rnacentral:tRNA from 1 species